CCAACAGUGCAAGAGGGUUCCCAUUUCUCCACAUCCUCUCCAGCAUCUAUAGUCUCCUGAUUUGUUCAUUUUGGCCACUCUGACUGGUGUGAGGUGAUAUCUGAGUGUGGUUUUGAUUUGUAUUUCCCUGAUGAGGAGCGACGUUGAGCAUCUUUUCAUGUGCCUGUUGGCCAUCUGGAUGUCUUC